UAGGAAGGCAGCAGUGGGGAAUAUUGCACAAUGGGCGCAAGCCUGAUGCAGCCAUGCCGCGUGUAUGAAGAAGGCCUUCGGGUUGUAAAGUACUUUCAGUCGUGAGGAAGGUGUUAAGGUUAAUAACCUUAGCAAUUGACGUUAGCGACAGAAGAAGCACCGGCUAACUCCGUGCCAGCAGCCGCGGUAAUACGGAGGGUGCGAGCGUUAAUCGGAAUUACUGGGCGUAAAGGGCACGCAGGCGGUUAAUUAAGUUGGAUGUGAAAUCCCCGGGCUUAACCUGGGAAUGGCAUUCAAGACUGGUUAGCUAGAGUCUUGUAGAGGGGGUAGAAUUCCAUGUGUAGCGGUGAAAUGCGUAGAGAUGUGGAGGAAUACCGGUGGCGAAGGCGGCCCCUGGACAAAGACUGACGCUCAUGUGCGAAAGCGUGGGGA
rnacentral:rRNA from 1 species